UACGUAGGGCGCAAGCGUUGUCCGGAAUUAUUGGGCGUAAAGAGCUCGUAGGCGGUUUGUCGCGUCUGCUGUGAAAAACCUCAGGCUCAACCUGGGGCUUGCAGUGGGUACGGGGCAGACUAGAGUGCGGUAGGGGGUGACUGGAAUUCCUGGUGUAGCGGUGGAAUGCGCAGAUAUCAGGAGGAACACCGAUGGCGAAGGCAGGUCACUGGGCCGCAACUGACGCU
rnacentral:rRNA from 1 species